rnacentral:lncRNA from 1 species
UCAAGCUUUUGACGAUGUGUUAGAUAUCUUGCUUCUUUAGCGUGGAUAUUAUUAUCUUGCUUCGCCACGCUCUGAUUGGACUCGGCCAGAUCUUCAUUCUUCUUCGUCAAAAUUUCAUUCUUCGGAAGCAGGUCGACAUUUAUAUCUAUGAUGACCCGAUGUGUGGCCCUGGUCGUCUCCAACUCUUUUUUGACCUUGUCGAGAUCCUUCCGAAGGCACUCAUUGUUGAGGAGAACAAUGUCAAGGUUGCUUCUUUCUUUUGCCAACACAGACUUCAGAAUGGCUUUCUCCCUUCGGGCGGUAUUCUCUUCGGUAU